rnacentral:rRNA from 1 species
UACGGGGGGGCAAGCGUUGUUCGGAAUUACUGGGCGUAAAGGGCUCGUAGGUGGCCAACUAAGUCGGACGUGAAAUCCCUCGGCUUAACCGGGGAACUGCGUCUGAUACUGGAUGGCUUGAGUUCGGGAGAGGGAUGCGGAAUUCCAGGUGUAGCGGUGAAAUGCGUAGAUAUCUGGAGGAAUACCGGUGGCGAAGGCGGCAUCCUGGACCGGCAUUGGACGCUGAACGGCG